rnacentral:lncRNA from 13 species
GAGGAAAGAGCCCAUGUCAGUCAGCGACAUCUUUUUAAAGCAACACCAUUUAUUUCAGUUUCUAGUUGAGUAAAAUAAGUAGGUUUGUUCUCAUCAUGAGAUAAUCCAGAAAUAACAAGAUAACAGCACCACCAUGAGGCAGAAAACUGAAUGUUCUAUUCUCAGCCAGGCCCAUCUUUUCAAAGAAAACACUAUUGAAUUAUCUCUCUAUUUGAGCAAAAUAAGUAGUUUUUUUCUGGUCACAAGAUAAUCCUAACAAUUCAGAUAAAAAGCACCACAGUCAGGCAGAACAAUAGUUUCCCUGGUUGCUAAAUGGCUGUUACUUAGAGAUACAAUAACAAAAUGCUGCUACUUAGAGAUACAAUAACAAAAUGGCUGCCACUUAGAGAUACAAUAACAAAAUGCUGCUACUUAGAGAUAUAAUAAAAAAAUGGCUGCUACUUAGAGAUACAAUAACAAAAUGGCUGCUACUUAGAGAUACAAUAACAAAAUGGCUGCCACUUAGAGAUACAAUAACAAAAUGGCUGCCACUUAGAGAUACAAUAACAAAAUGGCUGCCACUUAGAGAUACAGUAAUUAGAUGCCAUUCACUGAUAUAAACCUGUCUCCAAUAUAAUCGCAUAGUUUACACAGAGCCACCUUGU